UGUGUGGUAAGUUUUGGUUGUAAACUUAUGGUGUGCCAGCGAGGUAAGAUUACGGUGACUGUCUCACGAUUGUGCAAAACUUAUUAGGGUGCCAGCGACGAACCAUAACUGCCCCUGGAUUUACGUUUACCAUGAGGAGGAUGAGGCAAUGGCGACGGUGGCCGUGACGGGGCCGAGGCGCCGGCAAACCGUCGACUUCCGCAACCAGGACAGGGCCGAUUUACCGGACAGUCGUUCGCUCCUCCUCCAAGCGACCGCGAUCCUGCCGUUGGCCAUCCUGCAAGCGGCGUUGGCCUGGAGGUCGUCUUCAUCAGCCACACCAUCCAGGACUGGAGACACUGUUGUGAAGAUGUCAGCACCACCUGUCCCCAUCAAAUCCGUACAAGCUCGCCCCAUCUCCUCUCAGAUCUCGUCAGCCUCUCCAUUCUCGGUGCCUGAUCAAGCACCAAUGUGAUGUUGUUCAUUCCUUGUUGGAUACUCAUAGAUAUGCGUUGAGCUGAGCUCAAUUAAUAUUUUUAACAGGCGGAGUAUUGUUGCUUCGAGUGUGUCUCCGGUUCAAUGUCACAUGACACCAUCGCUCCGCCAGGCGAUCCGGUAUGAGGGAGCGCCAUGGGAGAACCUAGCCCGUAGCCUAACCAUGGCGGCGGCCGGCAGGGGAGCUUGUCCCGGCGAUCCAGCAUCCCGGCGUGGAGGCGCCUCCGGCGAGCACCCUGACCCACGUGAGAAGGCCACAGUGGAAGCGUCUUGUCUGGUCGAGCAGCCAUGGUUCUGAUUGUUCAUGUUGAUUUUGAGUUGGGGUAGCAGGGGAAUUCACACUGUAGUGGAGUGAAAUUCAGAAGGACAUAGCAGAGGAUGUCCUGGAAGAAUACCAAAAAGGUUGCGGCCGAGAGACAAUGUUGGGAACAUAGGAUGUCUGGAUGCUGAUGUAGAGGCUUCUCAUUCUGUUCAUUUGUGUUGUGUCGUUCCUUGCCAGAAUUCUAUACAUGUGUAUGGUAGCUAAUUCUGCUGGCUGAAUUUUAACCAUGUCUAUCCGCACAUGCUUUCUAUGUCGGAAGUGGCAUGUGAACUUCUGUGAGCAUAUUCCUUUUAAUUGGUUGAGAAAAUUGUACUUUGCGUUAAACUAGGUUUGUUUCUGAAUUUGACUCUAUUGAUGAGCUCCAUGAUCUAUCAUAAAGUGUUGCCAGAAGAUGCCUGUAAUCUUGGUAGAAAGAAUGGUAUCCUGAAGAUGCCUGUAAUCUUGGUAGAAAGAAUGGUAUCCUGAAGAUGCCUGUAAUCUUGGUAGAAAGAAUGGCAUCCUGAAUUUCUGA